UGGUUUGCUGAUGCAGCCUCAUCAAGAUUCACAAUAAUCAACGAGCGAGAGUUAAUUGGAUCGAUCCGUUAACCCGGCGAUUCUUGCUUUCGGAUAUGCGAAUCUUGAUGAUGCUGCAUUGGCAAUAGA
rnacentral:pre_miRNA from 1 species